rnacentral:rRNA from 1 species
GCAGCAGCGGCAUCCAUGGCCCCCAAGGCGGAGAAGAAGCCGGUGGCGGAGAAGGCCGAGAAGACGACGGCGGCGAAGAAGACCAAGGCCGAGAAGCGGCCGCCGGCGUCCAAGGAGGGCGGCGAGAAGAAGGGCAAGAAGAAGUCCAAGAAGAGCGUGGAGACUUACAAGAUCUACAUCUUCAAGGUGCUGAAGCAGGUGCACCCGGACAUCGGCAUCUCCUCCAAGGCCAUGUCCAUCAUGAACUCCUUCAUCAACGACAUCUUCGAGAAGCUCGCCGGCGAGUCGGCCAAGCUCGCCAGGUACAACAAGAAGCCCACCAUCACGUCCAGGGAGAUCCAGACCUCCGUCCGCCUCGUCCUCCCCGGCGAGCUCGCCAAGCACGCCGUCUCUGAGGGUACAAAGGCCGUCACCAAGUUCACAUCCGCUUAG